GAAAAACCUGAUGUUGCUGAUGAGGAGGAAAUGGUAUAAUAAACAGAUAUGUUAAAGAGAGAUUGAGACCAAGAGAGUGCUGUUUACCUGUGGAAACAAGUGAGGCGUUACAAAGAUGUUUCUAUUGGAAGAAACAUAGUGGAAUUUAACUACGUACAAAGAUUCAUCAAACCUGGCUCAGCAGAGAGAUGGAAGCAGUAAAGAGCAGCCUUACUGGGAUGAGCAGGUGGGCCACAGCUGGGUUCCUAGCAGCUUUGAUCAACACCACUGAUUUACUAUCAUUAACAAGGAGACACUGCAGUGGAGCCUGUAAUGUUGCCCUGACCUCAGCCACAACCUCUCCCUGGGUUUGAGCUCAAGUUUGGUGCCUGCUCUGACUGUUUGCAGACUGAAGCAGCAGUCUGAACAGCGCUCAGGCCGGAAGGGAGAGCCAAGAAGUGUCUUGGAUCCAAACUGUGUAAGUCAGACUCAGAAGUCAGACUCAGUGGAGACUUGCUUUUAUUAAAGCUGGUGGCUUACCCAGGUUGGGGUGAGGUAGCUUACCUCUCAAUUCGCGUUUCUGCAAUGGCUCAAAUAUAUUUUUAACAUGAAGUCUUAAUCAAUUUUGUGAAAAUAAAAGCUUUUCUUUUGCUUUUUCACAGUCUUACUUGAUUGUCUCGAUACAUCCAAGCUGCCAAAUACACCUUUCCCAGAACAAGUGGUGUAGUGUGGCUUACAGCCGUACUUAAG